GUUCACAUGCAGGAUUACACCAUACAUUAGACCAAGAGAGACAGUUAAAAGCAUUAAAAAAUCAUCUCUGGACAUAUACAGUAAGACUUGGCUGUCCAAAAGCCUUUCCUCUUUUUUUCUCUAUUGAGCCAAGACAAGACAUUACCUCUGUCUGCAGUCUGUCAAUGAAGAUGAUGGAAGAUGAUGAGCAGGCUGCUGUGGCUGCAAUCUGCUUUACAAAAGCAGGUCUGAAACUCUUCUCCUCCCUGGGAUGCAGAGAGUGCACAGGAGGUGUUAAUCUUGGAAACCUCACAGUGGUCUUUUUGCAGCUGUGGGAUGGAGUUAAUCAUCCCAGGGCUCCAGUGGGAAUUUAAGCCAGGCCUGCUGCUGCUCUGGCUGAUUAUGGCACACCAGCUCAUCCUAACCCCUGCAUGCUCUGGCCAAGGAUGAUGCUCAUCAGUCCCAUUGGAAUGCUGCUACCCAGGGCCACGGACUGUCCCCCAGCUCCAGCCCAUCAAAGGAGCCACAGGAUGGGACCAGGACAGCAAAGCUGCAGUGGAGACAACAGGCCAGGUGAAGUCUGACGGGCGGCUGCCUCCCUGCUCUGCCCAUAUGGAAAUGAACAUCUCAAAUGGGUCACUUACAAAGUAAAGAGUUUCCAGCUGACACAAAAUGUUGCAUAAUUUCCACAAGAUUUAUAGCUUUAUUUAAAUCAUUUUCAACCAAGAUGAGCAUUGGGCAGGGCUAAUCUUUCUUGUCACGAUGUGCUAAAUUGCUUUGAUUUGAUGAUCCCCAUCUUUCUCAGGGAUUUUUUUUUCUUUUUAAUCACUUAGGAAAUGUCACUGGAACACAGCAAAGUUUCGGGCUACUAGAGGAUUUCCAGAACUUUCCUUUCUUUUCCUUCUUCUUCCUAUGCGUCUCUGAAUGAGUGACUCUUUAUAAUGCAGCAAAAUCUGCAAGGGCUGACGUUUACCUGCGGCCCAGACUCUGCCAGGCAGGAGCAAUUCCCAAUUGAAAGCAGCAUAGACAUACAGGUAACCUCAUACACAUUAGCCCAGUGACCCAGCCAGGUGCUGGUACUUUGACCAUGGCCAGAUAAAGCAAACCAUCGCUCUAGAGGGCUCCUUGGUGAAGCAUCACACCAACAUUCAGACUUGCCUGUGUGGGUUUUGGGUGGCUGAAUUCCCUAAGUAAGUCCCCCUUUCUCCUCUUUGCCAUUGCCAGAAGGAUGCAUGCUGAGGCAGAACGGCAGCACUGGGUGGCCAUAGAGGCCACCACGGAGAUGGGUACAGUUCCCUGGCACAGACCCACAGAGGGAUAGGGAUGGGAGAAGCAGAUGAUGGCGCUUGUUCUGCAUGCCUGGAGAAAGCAAGCAAAUACAUAAAUAAGAACUGCUGACAGGGGAGCUGUGUUAGCAUAACUGACUUUGACCUUGGAAAUGCUGCCUGCGCCUGCUAUGCCCAAGUGCAGGGGAACAGGGGGUAGCUGCUUGUCUGGUCCUCUAGAGCCCUGUAGCUCUGCUCCCCGCUGCAGAACCAGGCAUGGGCACUGCUCAGAGAGCCCUGUGUCCCCCCCACCUUAGUUUACUCCUCUCUUAGUGCCUGUUUCCCAUAGGAGCCGAAUGUGCUUUGCUAUUAUAGCACUAAAUAUGAUGUGAGACCUUCGGCUGCAGCACCUCAGAGUACACGGUGUGGGUUCAGGCCAGCCAAAGCAGUGCUGGGCUGUACACCUAAAGGAGUCACUGAAGCCGGAGCUCAAGACACAGGGAAGACAUCCCCGAUCCCAAAGCACAUCAUGUGGAACUGCCAAUCCAUCAGCCUGAGUGAGCCCUGACCCCUGGGGAUGUCACCUAACUCGUGUAGCACUUGUGUUUUGUAGGCUGCUCCUCUCCCUUUCCCCACCUCCCAUUCUCCUUGCACAGGGGAGUUUGCAAGAGCUCAGCAAAGUUUUCCUUUUGUUGUUUGUAAACUAGAAUAAAUCCUUCUGUUCCAAAAUGCCAUCUGGCACCUGACAGUUGUGUUUCAGCUUCACAGUCUCAAAUCUAAUUGUAAGCUCUUUUUCAGGGCUUUCAAGGACGGUGCGACACAAUAUGGACUACCUACAAUGAAGACAUAUGAACUCAGGAGCAUACCAAACAAAUUCCUUGCAUACUUGUUUUCCAGCAAAGCAUCAAUCACCACAGGGAUGGGAGAGUGUCCAAAACAGCAGGAGAAAAUGCUACAGCUUGCAGUUCUUGGAUUGUAAUUCAUUUAAAGCCAGACACAUUAGCUGUACCACUAACAUCAGAUACAAAUCUCUGUUCUCCUUUUGCGCAUUUACUAUCUCAAAAGCAUUGAGAUUCAAUAUUUAAAGUUGUCCAGGGUAGAUCCUCAGCUGGUGUAAAGUGGCAUAACUGUGCUCAACAGCUGCUCCUGGUCUUUGAAGACAAUGGAGCUAUGCUGAUUUACAUCUGCUGCAGGAAGAUCUAUCGCUCUAUUUGCUUGGCUUUUUCUUUGGUGGCUUGUUUUUCUUUUCCUUUUCCUUGACAAAAUAAAUGGUGUAAUUCCUAGCUUUUA